CCUACGGGAGGCAGCAGUGAGGAAUAUUGGUCAAUGGACGCGAGUCUGAACCAGCCAAGUAGCGUGAAGGAUGACUGCCCUAUGGGUUGUAAACUUCUUUUAUAAAGGAAUAAAACGAGGCACGUGUGCCUUUUUGCAUGUACUUUAUGAAUAAGGAUCGGCUAACUCCGUGCCAGCAGCCGCGGUAAUACGGAGGAUCCGAGCGUUAUCCGGAUUUAUUGGGUUUAAAGGGAGCGUAGAUGGGUUGUUAAGUCAGUUGUGAAAGUGUGCGGCUCAACCGUAAAAUUGCAAUUGAUACUGGCAGUCUUGAGUACAGUUGAGGUAGGCGGAAUGCGUGGUGUAGCGGUGAAAUGCUUAGAGAUCACGAAGAACCCCGAUUGCGAAGGCAGCUUACUAAACUGUGACUGACAUUGAGGCUCGAAAGUGUGGGUAGCAAACAGGAUUAGAUACCCCAGUAGUC
rnacentral:rRNA from 1 species